CCCGGCGCAGCCGCCGCCGCCGCAGUUCCCCCAGUUCCACGUCAGGUCGAGCCUGCAGAUCAAGAAGAAUGCAAUCAUCGACGACUACAAGGUCACCACGCAGGUCCUGGGGCUGGGCAUCAACGGCAAAGUUCUGCAGAUCUUCAGCAAGAGGACGCAGGAGAAAUUCGCCCUGAAAAGCUCCUCCGUUUCCUGUUGCGCUGUGGAGAUGACCCUCCUGCCCUUUGGAGACCUUUAGCUGAGGGAGGGACAGGUGUGGAGCUUGCCAGCUCCCCCACAGUUCCUGGCGUCUUCGAGUCAGCGCCGGACGCACAGAGACACCUGGAUGCAGUCCGAGGCGGUCUCCUGUCUCCUGGCCUCGCCCUGUGUGUUGCAAGGGGACCAGCAUUGGGCACCAUGCUGCCGGGACUGGGGUUAGAGGUUUGAACCUCAGGGAACCCCUGAGCUCCAGGCAAGCAGAAAAGCGCCCGCCUGGCCUCUGCGGCACCCACCUGGCCGUGUGGGUCUCGGCAAGUUCUUCAGCCUGUCGGGGCCUCGCUUAGCUUCUUCAUAGUAAAUCCAGGCUCUCCUGUCCUGGGGGUCUCUCUUCGUCACUGCUGCUGACGCCCCUCUGCUGGGAAAGAGGUGGUCAGCCCAGGCUCCAGGGAUUGGGAGCCACCCUCUCCGCCCUCACGCUCUGCAGGCCAGUGUUCUUUCAUCCCUCCCCGGGCUGUAGUAGUUAUAUUCAUCAGCCGUUCUGCUUAUGUUUGUAAAUGUGCCUGCCUCCUGUCUUCCCUGCUGAGUGGCCAUUAGGAGGCCCAGAUGGCAGGAUUAGCCUGGAGGGGCCACCACUCUGGGUCAUCCUCUUGGGUUUAGACUCCUUUAAUACCUCUGCUAUGUGAGAAGAGAGGGGUUUAGAACAAGGAGGGUUGAUUCUUUUUUAGCAACUUAGACUGGACCCCUUCCUUUCUAAGUGGAAUUUGCCCCAGGGUACCUUCUAGCCCUCUGAGAUCCAAAGCAACUCACUACUCAAGAAAAUGAGCACUGCCACGGAUGACUUUUGCCAUCCUGCUAAGGAUAGAUCAGAACAGAAGAAUGAGUGAUACAUACAACAGUAUUCUGUCUCCUUCAGAUCACUGUCCAAAGCUUAGCAACACUGUGAAGGUUUUCCAGAUUAAUAGCAAGUCUUUAUGGAGCAGAUAUUAUAUAUCAGGCAUUGUAUUAAGUGUUUCACUUACAUUCUGGUUAAUCCUUAAUAUUGCAAAGUAGGAGUCCCCGUUUUAUAGAAGAGGAAACAUGUUCAGAAUCAUUCAGUCCCUAGCAGUUCUUUAUUGAGCACUUACUAAGUGCUAAUGUUACUUCAGGCUCUAGGGAUACCUAAGUGUACCAAAAAGACCAAAGGGAAAGAAAGAAACAAAAUCCUGCUUGUGUGGAGCUUGCAUUCUGGCAUGGGGAGACAGACAAAAUACAGUGAGAUAAAUGACACAGCUUGUCAGAUGGCAGUAAGGAGAAAAUAAAGGAGGGGAGGAGACCCUGGAAUGCUGGGAAUGUGUGUGUGGUGUUGAAAUUUCAAAUAGGGGCUCAGAGAAGGCUUCACUGCAAAAGUGACAUUUGAGUGAGCCCUAGAAAUAUUUGGGGGAGAGGAAGACAGAAGGAAUACAAGUGUGGAGCCCUUAGGCUACUAAUGCUGAGUGUGUCUGGCUUUCAGACCUGGCUCCGUAGAGCUUCCAGUACUGCCUUGACAGUUCUGCUCUGACUCCACGGAGAUUCAGUACUUAGUUGAUUCAGCUUUGUUUCUUCAUCAAAUAUUUACGGAAUGCUUAUUGCGUGCAAACUGCUACAGUGAUCAGACGGGGGCCCUGCCUUUGGGAACUUAGAGUCUAGAGGAAGAGCGGACGCCUACGUGUAUAAAGGCGUGCGAAUAGCCUGACCCCGCACUCUACUGUGCCCGUUCACAGGUAUUUCCUCUCGAUGCUCUCCAACAGAAGCAGUGCCUCCAGGUGGUGCGAUUCCAGGUUUUACACAGAAGAGGUUCAGGGAGCUGGCUGGGGGGAAAGUGGAGGUGCUUGGGAUCACGCUGGCCGGCCAUCCAUGGAGCUGGGAGGACAGGGUGAUGAGAACGGGCUGCGGUCCUCUGGGCCCUCACAGGGCUCCUCCCUUCCCCGGAGGAGUCACAUCCUUCCUGCGGGGGCCUCCAGGUGGACCGGGGUGCCGGGAGGCUCUCUGUGCCCUUGGUCUGGCCGCCUUGCCUCCUGCCUCUCGGGCGCUGGGUGAGCGGAAGUCCGGGCCCGGGAUGGAACGGGCCGUUGGUGCGGAUGGGAAAGUGAAGCAAUGGUCUCGGUUGCUUCUUUCUGAGCAUGUGCUGUGACAAAGGAAGUUGCAACAUUUUUUUUUUCCUUUCUUUCUUUCUUUUUAUAGAACAAGAAGGGGAAAAAAAACAGUCUUCCAGUAAACUUCAGAAAAAUAUCUAGCCUUUGCUGGAUGGUUCUCCCCUCCCCCACAGUGCUUUUUUAGUAUGUGGUCUUUCUCCCAUCCUGCCUCCUCCCUCUAUCCCUGCCGGCCUCCCUCUUCUCUGAGGGCCCAUGUCCCUGAAGCAGGAUAAGUACCUCUCCCAAGAGGAGACAGUCAGCAACUUGGUCUGCGGGAGCCUUGAGGGAGCGUCAUGUCCAUUGUCCUCUCCACAUGCUGGGAAUUAUUUAAAUACGACAGGUGUUUGCAGACGCCCACUUGGCCUCUCUCAGUGCGGCUGUGGUCUGUGUUCACUUGGUGCCCCAGAAGGUUGAGGUGGUACCUGUUUCUUGGCUCAGAUAACCACCCGCUUUGAUAGAGUGUAUGUCCAGUCAGAUGCUGGGGAAAGAGGCCCAAACGUGGGAGCAAGAAGCAAGCUGAAAGACCGCACCUGUGAAGCUGGAGUCCUUGGUCAGGUUGAAUCUGGCCUUUGUGCUGUGCCUGGGUGGGGCUUUCCAGGUGGGUCAGUUGUAAAGAAUCUGCCUGCCAAUGCCGAAGUUGCA